AACGAACGCUGGCGGCAUGCCUAACACAUGCAAGUCGAACGAGACCUUCGGGUCUAGUGGCGCACGGGUGCGUAACGCGUGGGAACCUGCCCUUAGGUUCGGAAUAACUCCCCGAAAGGGGUGCUAAUACCGGAUAAUGUCUUCGGACCAAAGAUUUAUCGCCUUUGGAUGGGCCCGCGUUGGAUUAGCUAGUUGGUAGGGUAAAAGCCUACCAAGGCGACGAUCCAUAGCUGGUCUGAGAGGAUGAUCAGCCACACUGGGACUGAGACACGGCCCAGACUCCUACGGGAGGGAGGAGUGGGGAAUAUUGGAAAAUGGGCGAAAGCCUGAUCCAGCAAUGCCGCGUGAGUGAUGAAGGCCUUAGGGUUGUAAAGCUCUUUUACCCGGGAUGAUAAUGACAGUACCGGGAGAAUAAGCUCCGGCUAACUCCGUG
rnacentral:rRNA from 1 species